rnacentral:rRNA from 1 species
CCUACGGGAGGCAGCAGUAGGGAAUCUUUCACAAUGGGCGAAAGCCUGAUGGAGCAACGCCGCGUGCAGGAUGAAGGCCUUCGGGUUGUAAACUGCUUUUAUAAGCGAGAAAUAUGAUGGUAACUUAUGAAUAAGGAUCGGCUAACUACGUUCCAGCAGCCGCGGUCAUACGUAGGAUCCGAGCAUUAGCCGGAGUGACUGGGUGUAAAGAGUUGCGUAGGUGGCAUAAUAAGUAGCUAGUGAAAUCUGGUGGCUCAACCAUUCAGACUAUUAGCUAAACUGUUAAGCUCGAGACCGUUAGGGGUAACUGGAAUUUCUAGUGUAGGAGUGAAAUCCGUAGAUAUUAGAAGGAACACCAAUAGCGUAGGCAGGUUGCUGGGACGGUUCUGACACUAAGGCACGAAAGCGUAGGGAGCAAACGGGAUUAGAUACCCGGGUAGUC